rnacentral:rRNA from 1 species
GUACCAUGCUGAAUAUACCGAUUCUCGUUAGAUCACCGAAGUCAAGCAUCAUUGGGCACGGUCAGUACUUGGGUGGGUGACCACCUGGGAACACUGCAAGCCGU